rnacentral:rRNA from 1 species
CAGCCGCCGCGGUAAUACGUAGGGUGCAAGCGUUAAUCGGAAUUACUGGGCGUAAAGCGUGCGCAGGCGGUUUUGUAAGACAGAGGUGAAAUCCCCGGGCUCAACCUGGGAACUGCCUUUGUGACUGCAAGGCUGGAGUGCGGCAGAGGGGGAUGGAAUUCCGCGUGUAGCAGUGAAAUGCGUAGAUAUGCGGAGGAACACCGAUGGCGAAGGCAAUCCCCUGGGCCUGCACUGACGCUCAUGCACGAAAGCGUGGGGAGCAAACAGGAUUAGAGACCCCUGUAGUCCCUGUCUCUUAUAC